AUGCCCAAUGAUUAUAACAAGACGCGUUAUUACGAGGACCAAUGCUGGAACUUCCUUUCUACCUUCUGCCUCUUCACUUUUUUCUCUCACCUCUCCCCCCCCCCUUCUGCCUCUUCCUUUUCCUCUCCCCUUGGAGACUCCAGUGUCCUAUGAGCAAGAUUAUGAGAUAUGAGGGCAA